GACGAGGGAUCCUAGCGUUGCUCGGAAUCAUUGGGCGUAAAGAGCGUGUAGGCGGCUCGGUAAGUCCGCUGUGAAAGUCCAGGGCUCAACCCUGGAAUGCCAGUGGAAACUGUCGAGCUAGAGUCCGGAAGAGGCGAGUGGAAUUCCUGGUGUAGCGGUGAAAUGCGCAGAUAUCAGGAGGAACACCAAUGGCGAAGGCAGCUCGCUGGGACGGUACUGACGCUGAGACGCGAAAGCGUGGGGAGCAAACAGG
rnacentral:rRNA from 1 species